rnacentral:rRNA from 1 species
UCUUAACUGACGCUGAUGGACGAAAGCGUGGGGAGCGAACAGGAUUAGAUACCCUGGUAGUCCACGCCGUAAACGAUGCUAACUCGUUUUUGGGCCUUCGGGUUCAGAGACUAAGCGAAAGUGAUAAGUUAGCCACCUGGGGAGUACGUUCGCAAGAAUGAAACUCAAAGGAAUUGACGGGGGCCCGCACAAGCGGUGGAUUAUGUGGUUUAAUUCGAUGAUACGCGAGGAACCUUACCAAGACUUAAAUGGGAAUUGACAGAUCUAGAAAUAGGUCCUUCUUCGGACAAUUUUCAAGGUGCUGCAUGGUUGUCGUCAGCUCGUGCCGUGAGGUGUUAGGUUAAGUCCUGCAACGAGCGCAACCCCUGUCACUAGUUGCUAGCAUUAAGUUGAGGACUCUAGUGAGACUGCCUACGCAAGUAGAGAGGAAGGUGGGGAUGACGUCAAAUCAUCACGGCCCUUACGUCUUGGGCCACACACGUAAUACAAUGGCCGGUACAGAGGGCAGCUACCUAGCGAUAGGAUGCAAAUCUCGAAAGCCGGUCUCAGUUCGGAUUGGAGUCUGCAACUCGACUCUAUGUAGCUGGAAUCGCUAGUAAUCGCGCAUCAGCCAUGGCGCGGUGAAUACGUUCCCGGGCCUUGUACACACCGCCCGUCAAGCCAUGGAAGUCUGGGGUACCUGAAGUCGGUGACCGUAACAGGAGCUGCCUAGGGUAAAACAGGUAACUAGGGCUAAGUCGUAACAAGGUA